UCUUCGUUCUGUGCUCUUUCUUUCUUAAUCCCAGAUAAGACAGAAAGGGCAGCUUUGGCCUGAGAAGUGCUAGCCAGCCCCAGCCUUCCCACACGUGUUCACAGGACCGCACCAGGUCAGCUUCAGGUACACUGCGCGCCUGUGCCAAUGACUCAUCGCCCGGAACAGACCAUUUUCAGGGAAGCAUGUUCUACGCAGUUGGCCUGUGCCUUUGGUGUCUUUGGAGCUUCGCUCAAUAUUAGCCAGGGUAUGCCCUGAAGAGUGGAAAAACUGAAGUCUGUGAACAUCCUUCUGUCUUGAGAAUACUGUUCUGAGAAGUAGAGGAGAAACUUCCUCCCUGGGGCCAGCUGACUGGCUGCCUCAGCUUUUCAAAUUUUUGCCUCCUACUUCAACCCUGCUCCUCCAGAAGAUAAGGAAGGUCACAAGAGUUCGUGAUGAAAAAUUACAAAGUCCAUCGAGGGUUGGUGCAAAGGGCAGGGAAAGGCAGGAAGCAGAAACGGCAAACUGGGAGUGGAGGGAGACCCCGUAAGCUCUCAGAGCCCUCCCCUGGUGGUUGGAUACAGAUCCUCCAGCUCCUAAAGAUUUGGUAACUUCACCAAGCAGCGCCACCAAAUGGAGAACCAAGUAUUCAAAGGCCUGAGCCUAUGAGGGACGCUUCUUUGUUUCGGGAUCAUGGUGGAUGAAGGGGAAAGAACCGUUGCUAUGAAACACAGUUCCAGGUUUCCAGGGCCUCACAAAGCCGCCUUUUAGAAGUACUAAACCGUUUCCCUUGGCAUCUUCAGAGCUAUUUUAUUCUCCAUCUUACAAGAAUGCCUUAUACUCAUGCUAACACUCUGUUCACUUGACAGGAUCUGCUCGAGUCUUGUGCCAUGCCUGGAGUUCCCAGGGGCGUGGUCUCCACAUCCCUUCCCUUUCUGUUCCCUGCAAAGAGACCAUCAGAGAGCCUCUAGAACUCUGAUGUGAGACUUCUCCCCCACCAACAAAACUGUGAACAGUAUGUCCUUGGAAAUAGUGUCUAAAAUAGUAGAGCAUUAGACAGAAUCAAAACACUAAAAAUAAAUGAUGGAUAAAAUAAAAUAUGACAUAGAUCCAUAGUCAUUGAGCCAGGAAUACCCCCCUCCUAUUAAUAACUGAGGAAAAUAUUUGUUGCAGAUAAAUGAUUGGCGCAUACUCACUACUAUAGAUGGGAAUUAUUUAUUAAACAGUUGCAUUUUUGAGCUAGGACAUACAUCAGAUAUGUGUCACAGCUAUGAGUAACUUCCUUUCACUUAUAUUUGUCUGCAUUUUUUAAUGUUUUCUAAGUGAUUAUGAACAGCAGGAGAAGUCAACCCCCAAAAAAAUGUGUAAUAAUUGUCUCUGAUGAAAAGAAACAAUCCCAUUGUUUUUCCAGUCCUUGCAAACCUUGUUAAAGCUCAAAGUUCUCUUCUUAAAAACAAGUGCAUUAAAUCUAAGAGUCAGAGGCGCCAGCGAUCUACAUUAGGAAGACGUCAGGGUUCAGAACGACUUAGAGAAGAGAUGACGCAGGGGAGAUGUGCUCACAGAGACAAUGUACCACAAAAAAUACCGGAGACGCUCCAGUGCAGCGGUGGGCAGGAACGAGACAAGGUGAAGAAAAGAAUAAUGAAGGUAAGUUGGAAGUUUAUGUAACAAGUGUUGAUCUGCCUCUGCCUCCUCCCUCCCCACCCUCAGAACUCCAUUAGCCAGAAAGUACUUGAGGCACCCUAGACUUGAGAUUCACUCUCCGGGGAAAUCAAAGGGAGGAGAGUCUACAGACUUGAGGACGCAAAGCUCACUCGGUACAGCUCAGGGCUCAAAGCACACACAGGAAAUGGUUCAACUGCAAAUCUUUCUCAACUCCUUCAAACCCCUACAAGAGAGUCAGGAAAUAGCUAGAAGACACUUCUCUUGACGUUCCACUGAAAAGAACCCCUUUUUCUUCCUCCCUUCCUUCCUUUCUGUGAAGAUGUUUUUUAUUGAAAAAAUCACAAUAGUUAUAACUUGCCAACUUAAAUAAUAAUCAUCUCCCACAUAUAUUCUUUUCUUAAUUUUUAUUUGUUCUUUGAAAUUUUCAUACAUGUAUACAAUAUAUCUUGAUCAUAUCCACCCCUCAUUACCCAACUUUAAUUCCACCCUCCAGGACCCCAGGUUGCAUUUCCCUCCCAACUUCAUGUCCUGCUUACAUAAUUUUUUUGCUUAUUUUUUUAAUCCACUGAGUCUAAUUAGUGCUGUCAAUAUGGCGCAUGGGUGUAGGUUCAUCUACUGGGACACAAGGAGAUUACCAAUGGUCACAAGGCAGACAAAUGGAUGGAUCUAGAAAAAAUCAUCCUGAGUGAGGUAACCCAGACUCAGAAAGACAAACAUGGUAUGUACUCACUCAUAGGAGGAUACUAGAUGUAGAACAAGGAUGACUGGACUGCUACUCACAUCACCAGGGAGGCUACCUGGAAAACAGAACCCCAAGAAAGACACAGGGAUUGCCCAAUGGCAGAGAAAUGGAAUGAGAUCUACAUGAAUAGCCUGGACAUGAGCGGGGGUAAUGAAGGGCGAGGGUCGAGGGAAAGAGAGCUUGGGGGAGUGGGAGAUCCCAGCUGGAUCAACAACAGAGAGGGAGAACAAGGAAUAGGAGACCAUGGUAAAUGAAGACCACAUGAGAAUAGGAAGAAGCAAAGUGCUAGAGAGGCCCACAGAAAUCCACAAAGAUACCCCCACAACAGAGUGCUGGCAAUGGUUGAGAUACACCCCGAACUGACCUACUCUGGUGAUAGGAUGGCCAAACACCCUAAUUGUGCUAGAAACCCCAUCCAACUACUGAGCUAUCUGGAUGCACAGAUCCAUGGCUAGGCCCUGGGUGGAUCUCUGGGAGUCCAAUUAGCGAGAAUGAGGAGGGUUUAUAUGAGCGAGAAUUGUUGAGACCAAGGUUGGAUAAAGCACAGGGACAAAUAGCCAAACAAAUGGAAACACAUGAACUAUGAACCAAUGGCUGAGGGGUCCCCAACUGGAUCAGGCCCUCUGAAUGGGUGAGACAGUUGAUUGGCUUGAUCUGUUUGGGAGGCAUCCAGGCAGUGGGACCGGGUCCUGUGCUCAUUGCAUGAGUUGGCUGUUUGAAACCUGGGGCCUAUGCAGGAUCACUUGGCUUGGCCUGGGAGGAGGGGACUGGACCUACCUGGACUGAGUCUACCAAGUUGAUCUCA